rnacentral:misc_RNA from 1 species
CCGAGUGAGGGCCCUCUGGGUCCAACCUCCCACCCGUGUCUAUUGUACCUUGUUGCUUCGGUGGGCCCGCCUUUAUGGCCGCCGGGGGGCAUCCGCCCCCGGGCCCGCGCCCGCCGAAGACACCAUUGAACGCUGUCUGAAGAUUGCAGUCUGAGCAAUUAGUUAAAUAACUUA